AACCUAUGCUGCCUUUUAUCAGACCUACUCAUCCAUCUAACACACCUUGUCCCAUUGAUUAUUCCUGACUUGAAGCCAAAAUUUUAUGAAUCUAAUGCUUCUCACACAUCUCCUGUGCCCUCCAUCCACCUCACUACCCCUGUGUCAUGUUGAAGUGCUGGCAUGAAAUCCUUAUGGAAACAUCCAUCAAAGAAGUGGGGAAGAGGUUCUGAGAAGGGUCAGGACUGGGGUUUGAGGUUUGAGGUUUGAGGGUGCCCAGGACAGGAAGAGAUGAUGUAUAUGAUUUGCAAAUAAUUUCUCCCACUUUGUGACUUUUCUUUGAGUUUUCUUUUAUUUCUUUUUUUUAUUGAGGUAUAAUUGACAUCUUUGAAUUUUCUUUUUUUCCCAGUUUAUUGAGAUAUAAUUGACAUACAUCACUGGAUAAGUUUAAGGUGUCCAGCAUAACAGUUUAACUUACAUCUUUGAAUUUUCUUGACGGUGUCUUUGUAGCACAAGAGUUUUUAAUUUUAAUGAAGUCCAAUUUAUCCAUUUUGAGUUGACUUUAUAGAUGGCAAGUGUCGCAGCUUGUUUCUUCUUUGCAUACGGAUCUCCAAUUCUACUCCAUAUGUUGAAAGGACUGGGCAGGUAUAUUUGAGCAGGGCAGGCUGCACAGGCACAGGGCUGCGCUGCCAGCUAGUCGGACUGCAUGUGGUUGAGCAGACUGUGGUGAGCGUGUUGGUGCUCCAUGGUGAGCAGAGAUAGGAUGGGCCGAUUACCGAGGGCCUCGUUCUCAGGUCAGUUCUUUUUGAAGACACUUCCGGGGCUGGACCUUUUGUGGCGGCUCCCGGCGGUACUACAACUUCCAGCGUGCAUCGCGCGGGCCAGCCCUCCGUGGCGGGGGAGAUCCCCGGCCGACCUGGAUGUGUGGCGGCAAGGGAAGAGCUGAGCCGCGGGUUCCGGGUUUUUGAGGUUGACUUAAGGCUUUGGCCUCCGCGAGGGCUGAGCAACGGAACUGCGAGCCGUGUGACCUACCCACUCAGACACGCCCCCGGCCUCUGGCCCCCCUCUGCCUUCCCCUCUGGUCUGGCCCCGACUCGUUUCUUCCUCCAGUUUCCCGCGGGGAGUAACCCUUGACGACGACCAACCGCAGCCGAGCAUUUUGCCGGCCGGGCCAAUCUGAGGCGCGGGUGGAAGAGGCGGAGGUAGAAGCCCCGCCAGGCAGCCAGCGGGGUGUCCGUUUCUCCCGGAAAGGGUAGGGCGCCCCGGCUGGAACCCCGAGGGGAGCAAAAGAACCUUGGCGGGGUGCGGAAGUGCAUGGGCCUCUCCGCUCUCAGUGGGGCGUCGGAGGGGCCAGGCUUACCCUUAAGCGGCACUCUUCACGUGUCUGGGCCCAGUCUCGGCCGCCAUGGCUCACAGGACCCCUCCGGGCUCUUCAGCCUCACACGCCAGCUGCCUGGACCUGUGGAGGGAAAAGAAUGACCAACUAGUUCAACAGGCCAAGGUUGCUCAGGACUCAGGUCUGUCUCCGAGGCGACAGCAGUUGGCUCAAGAUGCACUGGAAGGGCUCCGGGGACUCCUCCAUAGUCUGCAGGGGCUCCCUGCGGCUGUUUCUGUUCUCCGCUUGGAACUGACUGUCAUCUGCAAUUUCAUUACCCUGAGGGCAAGCCUGGCCCAGGGUUUCACUGAGGACCUGGUACAGGAUAUCCAGCAGGGCCUAGAGAGAGUGCUGGAGACCCAGGAGCAGCUGAAGGCCAGGCUGGAACAUGGGCUCAGGGGGCUGUGGGACUCCGUCCUCCAUGUUUCCUCCCUUCUGCCGGAGCUGCUCCCUGCCCUUCACCACCUUGCUGGCCUGCAGGCUGCCCUUUGGCUGAGCACUGACCGUCUUGGGGACCUGACCUUGCUGCUGCAGACCCUGAAUGUUAGCCAGAGCAGAGCCUCUGAGGAUCUGCUGCUGCUCCUGAAAACUUGGAGGCCCCCAGCUGAGGAGUCAGAUGCUCCAUUGACCCUGCAGGAUGCCCAGAACUUGAGGGGUGUCCUUCUGACAGCAUUUGCUUAUCGCCAAGGCCAGCUAGCAAUCUCACUUGUCCCUUCCUCCCCACUCCCUGUCUUAAGGGGUCCUCUGGGCUCAUGUCUUCUCUAUCCUCUACCCUUCAGCUCAGUAGAGCUUCUCUGUGCUCUUCUUCCCCAUCAUGCCCCCUGCUCUAUUGGCCUCUCUAAGCUCACACCCUGGUUGCCCACAGGCCUCCAGGAGCUGAUCACAGGGAACCUGCCCAGGGCACUGAGCAGCCUGCAUGAAGCGGCCUCAGGUCUGUGCCCACGGCCUGUGUUGGUCCAGGUGUACACAGCCCUGGGGACCUGUCUUCGUAAGAUGGGCAGUCCACAGAGAGCUCUGCUGUACUUGGUUGCAGCCCUGAAAGGGGAAUCAACCUGGGGUCCCCCGCUUCUGGAGGCCUCCAGGCUGUAUCGGCAACUGGAGAACACGGCAGCAGAGAUUGAGUGUCUGGAGCUGCUGGUUGAGGCCUUGAGUGUCGCUCAUAUCCCUGAAGCCCCACAGCUUCUCAUUGAGGUAGAGUUACUACUCCCACGACCUGACCCAGCCUCACCCCUUCACUGUGGCACACAGAGCCAGGCCAAGUACCUGCUGGCAAGCCGAUGCCUACAGACGGGAAGGGCAGAGAAUGCUGCAGAACAUUACCUGGACCUGCUGGCCCUGUUGCUGGAUGGCUCGGAGCCAAAGUUCUCCCCACCCCCAUGCCCCCGAGGGCCCUGUGUGCCUGAGGUGUUCUUGGAGGCAGCAGCAGCGCUGAUUCAGGCAGGCCGAGCCCAGGAUGCUUUGACCGUGUGUGAGGAGCUGCUUAGCCGCAUGUCAUCCCUGCGUCCCAAGAGGCCCCGGCUGUGGGAAGAUGCCAGAAGAGGAACCAAAGAGUUACCACACUGCUCACCCUGGGUCUCUGCCACCUAUUUGCUUCAGGGCCACGCUCGGGUGCAACUGGGGGCCCAAAAGGAGGCAAUUAGUGAAUUUAGCCGGUGCCUUGAGCUGCUCUUCCAGGCCACACCCAUGGAUAAAGAACAAGGGCCUGCUUCCAGCUGUGAGCAGGGGUGUACAUCAGAUGUGGCACUACAACAGCUUCGCGCAGCCGCCCUGAUUAGUCGUGGACUGGAAUGGGUGGCCAGUGGCCAGGAUACCAAAGCCCUACAGGACUUCCUUCUCAGUGUGCAGGUGUGCCCAGACUCUGAGGAGGCUGGAUCGGAGGGAUGAGGCCACUGCUCUCUGGCGGAGGCUGGAGGCCCAAACUGAGUUGCCACAGGAGAAUGCUGCAUGGUCUCUCCCCCUGUACCUAGAAACCUGUUUGGGCUGGAUCCAUCCCCCUGACCAUGAAACCCUUCUUGAGGAAUUUCGGACGUCUCUGCUGGAGACUUGUGACCUGUAGCUGCCACGUUUCAAAGAACCUGAGUUGGGGCCUCAGUGGGCCAUCUGUGGGGAGGGCUUUCUGCUGUACCGUCCUUGGGGAACAUGGCUGGAGCUGACCAUUCCAAUAUAAGUCUGGCAUUGGAGAGGCUGGUGGUAGUUCUCCAAAAUUUGGUCUGGUUAUUGCUGUUCUGGUUCCAGAAGAAGCCCCCAUUCCACCAACAAGGCAUUGACUUUGCUCAUAGCACCUUUUUUCCUGUUUGCCUUUUCAUGUGUUGAGUAAAAUUUCAUGCCUA